UACGGAGGGGGCAAGCGUUAUUCGGAAUUAUUGGGCGUAAAGGGCGCGUAGGCGGCCAUGUAAGUCAGGGGUGAAAUCCCUCGGCUCAACAGGGGAACUGCCGCUGAAACUGCGUGGCUUGAGACCGGGAGAGGGUGGUGGAAUUCCUAGUUUAGCGGUGAAAUGCGUAGAUAUUAGGAGGAACACCAGUGGCGAAGGCGACCACCUGGACCGGAUCUGACGCUGAGGCGCGAAAGUGUGGGGAGCAAACAGG
rnacentral:misc_RNA from 1 species